GACGAACGCUGGCGGCGUGCCUAAUACAUGCAAGUCGAGCGGAGUAAAAAGCGUGCUCGCACGGUUUUUAUUUAGCGGCGAACGGGUGAGUAACACGUAGGUAACCUGGCCAUAAGACAGGGAUAACGCACGGAAACGUGAGCUAAAACCAGAUAGGCAUUUUCCACGCAUGAGGGAGAUGAGAAAGGCGGAGCAAUCUGCCGCUUAUGGAUGGACCUGCGUCGCAUUAGCUAGUUGGAGUGGUAAAGGCACACCAAGGCGACGAUGCGUAGCCGACCUGAGAGGGUGAGCGGCCACACUGGGACUGAGACACGGCCCAGACCUCCUACGGGAGCAGCAGUA
rnacentral:rRNA from 1 species